rnacentral:lncRNA from 1 species
GAUUAUCUGCUACAAUAUCCUUGGCAAGAAGUCAUCCAUUCUCUGCUUGAAGACCACUAAUGUUUGGGAGACUCCCAAGAUAAUUCACUCAAUGCUUAGAAAAUCAAGUUGUUAGGAAGAUUUUUUCUAUUGAGUCAAAAUCUGCUUCUCUGUUGAUUAUCUAUUGGGGGAGGUAGGUGGGGUAACUUUAUCACAAGCUAUCCUCCCUGUCUUCCCAGUAUGUCUUGGUGGAAGGCACAUUUGAUAUCAAUCUGAGAAAAAAUAGCAAUAGGAAAGGAGAUCUGUUCUCCCACACACACACUCUCUCUCUCACCAGAUAAAUAAUUUUCUCUGGAAAUAAUUUAAAUUCUUCCACCCCAGGAACACAUCUGCCUGUGUUUGAAUCCCUUGCCUUUUAUGUUGAGGCCUAUCAGCAGAGAGCUGACCAUUUGCAAACUGAGAUGGGGCCCAAGUUUAAAGAAGAAUUUGAUUCAAGGCUGAAAUUCAUUGCCUUAAAAAGCAGUAUGUUUAAAAACAAGACAAUAAACCCUCAUCUUCCACCUUAGAAACAAUACUAUGUAUUGGUUUCAAGGCAGAAGAGUGAUAAGGGCUAGGCAAUGGGGGUUAAGUGACUUGUCUGGGAUCCCAGAGCUAGGACAUGUCUGAUCUCAAAUUUGAACCCAGGACCUCCCACCUCUAGGCCUGGCUCUCAAUCCACUGAGCUACUGAGCUGCCCCCAAGGCUUGAUUUUUUAAAAACAGUAUUUUCAUUGUUAACUCAAUAGAGGUAUUUCUUUUCCUAGAUUUUUUAACUCUAUAAUUGUGGGCAUAUUCCACUCUAUUAAAAGACUAUUCAGAGAAACAAUUCAACUCUUCAAAUGUCCUUGAUCGAAAGCAGAUUUUCUUCCCUUCUCCCUAGCCCCCACACUGAUGAGGAAAUCUAUCAUUUAGAGCAGCGGUUCUCAACCUCUCAAUUUGGAGCACUGAGAAUACAUAAUGCAUAUCAGAAACUCUGGUGCAGAGACAUUAUGUGACUUACCCAAAGCCACAGGCAUGAAGUGGCUGAAUUGGGAUGCGAAUCAAGGUCUUCUGACCCAAAUCCAGUGCUCUACUAUGCUAUUCGCCGUCAUCCCUUUUGGGAGGGAUUCCCUCUCUGAUACAAAACAGAUAAAAUGUUACUUUACUGCCUGGAGGUACAAAGGAGUGCCACUUCUUUCCACUUCCCACAAAAUAAGAGAUGAUGCCCAGCCGAAGUAGUAACUGAAGGGACCUCAGAAAGGUCCUGCUCACCCUAGAGGGAAGAGCACACUGGAUUGGGAGAAGCAGCACUGGGCCAACGCUGCCUCAUUAUCCAUGACCCUAAAGACAUUAGAUCACCCUGGCUCUUGGUUUCUUCCUCCUUCAAGGCAAGAGUUAGAUCUGAUGGCCUCAGAGGCUCCCUCCACCUCUAAAUCCUAGAAUGCCAUCAAUUCAAAAGGGUCCCUGAAAGUGUCCCAUAAAAGCCAAAAAGCCGCUGAGCACAAGCAUUGGGAGACCCGGCAGAAGAGCCCGUGGCUGGGGCCGCGUCAGCAGCUGCAGAGCCAGCUCCCGUUGGACAGGUUUCUUCUCAGGAUCUCGGCUCUGUUGACAAAGGGCGUUUGCCCUCUGGGAGCCCGCGGCCGUUCUCCACCUGACGCCUGCUGACAUAUAUGGAGCUAGGACCAGGGCGUCGAACGGCUAAGAGCUUUUGUCGCCUUUUGCCAAAUGCCACUUUGGACAAGGACUCUUUUCUUCCACCAUAGCACAAUAUUUAUCUUAUUGCCAAGUCAUUUACACUUGCCUGCCACACUUUUGCUUGACCCUAGCCAGAAGAGUUUCCCAACACCAGGCAAAAAAACGUGUCAUGUAUGGCUACGACCGGGGUAAAUGACUAAGAAAUGGCUCCCUGGAGAGAAAUAUAGACAAGAUACAUUUUUAGGUGUUGUUCAGUCAUUUGAGUCAUGUCUGACUCUUUGUGAUCCCAUUUGAAAUUUUCUUCACAAAGAUACUAGAGUGGUUUGCCUUCUCCAAUGCAUUUUACUGAUGAGUAAAGUGAGGCAAACAGGGUUAAGUGACUUGCCCAGGGUCACAUAGCUAGUAAGCGUCUGAGGCUGGAUUUGAACUAAGGGAGGAAGAUGAGGCCUGGCACUCUAUCCACUCUGCCAUUUAGCUGCCUGUCUUUUAAGUUUCGUCUGUAUUCCAGUAUUAUCUUAAGCCUAGGCAAUCGGAAAAACAAUAAAUUGAGUUCUUGGGUUUCUUUUGGCCA